GGGUCGGUAGCGAAGCGGUCAAACGCGUCUGACUGUAAAUCAGAUGGCCUCGUGCCUUCGGGGGUUCGAAUCCCUCCCGGCCCA
rnacentral:tRNA from 1 species